CUGACGUUAGCGGCGGACGGGUGAGUAACACGUGGAUAACCUACCUAUAAGACUGGUAUAACUUCGGGAAACCGGAGCUAAUACCGGAUAAUAUAUUGAACCGCAUGGUUCAAUAGUGAAAGACGGUUUUGCUGUCACUUAUAGAUGGAUCCGCGCCGCAUUAGCUAGUUGGUAAGGUAACGGCUUACCAAGGCAACGAUGCGUAGCCGACCUGAGAGGGUGAUCGGCCACACUGGAACUGAGACACGGUCCAGACUCCUACGGGAGGCAGCAGUAGGGAAUCUUCCGCAAUGGGCGAAAGCUUGACGGAGCAACGCCGCGUGAGUGAUGAAGGUCUUCGGAUCGUAAAACUCUGUUAUUAGGGAAGAACAAAUGUGUAAGUAACUAUGCACGUCUUGACGGUACCUAAUCAGAAAGCCACGGCUAACUACGUGCCAGCAGCCGCGGUAAUACGUAGGUGGCAGGCGUUAUCCGGAAUUAUUGGGCGUAAAGCGCGCGUAGGCGGUUUUUUAAGUCUGAUGUGAAAGCCCACGGCUCAACCGUGGAGGGUCAUUGGAAACUGGAAAACUUGAGCGCAGAAGAGGAAAGUGGAAUUCCAUGUGUAGCGGUGAAAUGCGCAGAGAUAUGGAGGAACACCAGUGGCGAAGGCGACUUUCUGGUCUGUAACUGACGCUGAUGUGCGAAAGCGUGGGGAUCAAACAGGAUUAGAUACCCCUGGUAGUCCACGCCGUAAACGAUGAGUGCUAAGUGUUAGGGGGUUUCCGCCCCUUAGUGCUGCAGCUAACGCAUUAAGCACUCCGCCUGGGGAGUACGACCGCAAGG
rnacentral:rRNA from 1 species